CAACGUAGGUAAUCUACCUUUGGGUGGGGAAUAACAACCGGAAACGGUUGCUAAUACCGCAUAAUGCAGCGGCACCACAUGGUGACAGUUGUUAACGCGGGGGAUCGCAAGACCUCGCGCCUAAAGAGGAGCCUGCGGCGGAUUAGCUAGUUGGUAGGGUAAUGGCCUACCAAGGCAACGAUCCGUAGCCGGCCUGAGAGGGCGGUCGGCCACACUGACACUGAAAUACGGGUCAG
rnacentral:rRNA from 1 species